GGUAUGUUGGCCAGGCUGGUCCCAAACUCCCAGGCUCAAGUGAUUCUCCUGCCGCAUCUUCCCAAGUAGCAGAGGCUAAAUGAUAUAUGGCUUGCAACAGCCACCUUGUUACCAUCCACUGGCAAACAACACAGAAGCCAGCCCACAGAGGCCGGCAGAGGAGAAUGACAGAGCAGCUGGACUGAUGCGGACGAUUGCUGGCCACUGCACACCUCUGGAUCUCUUGGAUUCACUAAGACUGAGUCAAAUAUGAAGAACAGACUUGUUUCCUUUCUGGUUUCAGCAUCUGGGGGUUAGAAUGACCACUGUUACUGGUGAGACACCUGUUUGCCAUAAUGAGCCUGAAGUUGCUGCACUCAGCAAUGAGCUGCACCUUGUAAUUGGCUCACAAGAAUGACAAGCUGCAGAGAGCCUCAGUUAAGGCCUUUCCAAUCCACACGUGCCAUUAGCAGGCACUCAUUAAAGA